GGGUGUAGUUCAAUGGUAGAGCAUCGGUCUCCAAAACCGCGAAUGUGGGUUCGAUUCCUGUCACCC
rnacentral:tRNA from 1 species